CUGGCGGCGUGCUUAACACAUGCAAGUCGAACGGAAAGGCCCCUUUGGGGGUGCUCGAGUGGCGAACGGGUGAGUAACACGUGGGUGAUCUGCCCUGCACUUCGGGAUAAGCUUGGGAAACUGGGUCUAAUACCGGAUAGGACCAUGCCAUGCAUGUGGUGUGGUGGAAAGCUUUUGCGGUGUGGGAUGGGCCCGCGGCCUAUCAGCUUGUUGGUGGGGUGAUGGCCUACCAAGGCGACGACGGGUAGCCGGCCUGAGAGGGUGUCCGGCCACACUGGGACUGAGAUACGGCCCAGACUCCUACGGGAGGCAGCAGUGGGGAAUAUUGCACAAUGGGCGCAAGCCUGAUGCAGCGACGCCGCGUGGGGGAUGACGGCCUUCGGGUUGUAAACCUCUUUCAGUGCCGACGAAGCGUAAGUGACGGUAGGCACAGAAGAAGCACCGGCCAACUACGUGCCAGCAGCCGCGGUAAUACGUAGGGUGCGAGCGUUGUCCGGAAUUACUGGGCGUAAAGAGCUCGUAGGUGGUUUGUCGCGUUGUUCGUGAAAACCGGGGGCUUAACUCUAGGCGUGCGGGCGAUACGGGCAGACUGGAGUACUGCAGGGGAGACUGGAAUUCCUGGUGUAGCGGUGGAAUGCGCAGAUAUCAGGAGGAACACCGGUGGCGAAGGCGGGUCUCUGGGCAGUAACUGACGCUGAGGAGCGAAAGCGUGGGGAGCGAACAGGAUUAGAUACCCUGGUAGUCCACGCCGUAAACGGUGGGUACUAGGUGUGGGUUUCCUUCCUUGGGAUCCGUGCCGUAGCUAACGCAUUAAGUACCCCGCCUGGGGAGUACGGCCGCAAGGCUAAAACUCAAAGGAAUUGACGGGGGCCCGCACAAGCGGCGGAGCAUGUGGAUUAAUUCGAUGCAACGCGAAGAACCUUACCUGGGUUUGACAUGCACAGGACGCGUCUAGAGAUAGGCGUUCCCUUGUGGCCUGUGUGCAGGUGGUGCAUGGCUGUCGUCAGCUCGUGUCGUGAGAUGUUGGGUUAAGUCCCGCAACGAGCGCAACCCUUGAUCUGUGUUACCAGCGCGUGAAGGCGGGGACUCACAGAUGACUGCCGGUGACAAACCGGAGGAAGGCGGGGAUGACGUCAAAUCAUCAUGCCCCUUAUGUCCUGGGCGACACACGUGCUACAAUGGGCGGUACAGAGGGAAGCGAAGCCGCGAGGUGGAGCGAAACCCUAGAAAGCCGUUCGUAGUUCGGAUUGCAGGCUGCAACUCGCCUGCAUGAAGCCGGAAUUGCUAGUAAUC
rnacentral:rRNA from 1 species